GGCGAUGCGAGUCGAGACGAUGCCUUAAGAGCUUGCUUUUAUUAAGUUAGCGGCGGGCGGGGGAGUAACACGUGUGUAACCUGCCCAUAAGACUGGGAUAACUCCGGGAAACCGGGGCUAAUACCGGAUAACAUUUUGAACCGCAUGGGUCGAAAUUGAAAGGCGGCUUCGGCUGUCACUUAUGGAUGGACCCGCGUCGCAUUAGCUAGUUGGUGAGGUACCGGCUCACCAAGGCAACGAUGCGUAGCCAACCUGAGAGGGGGAUCGGGCACUCUGGGACUGAGAACGUCCCAGAGUCUUACGGGGGGGGCAGUUUGGAACUUCCGCAAUGAAGAAGUCGAGGAGCAAGCCGCGGGAGUGUUGGGGUUUCGGUCUAAACCUGUGUUAGGAAAACAGGCUAGUUGA
rnacentral:rRNA from 1 species